ensembl:Mt_tRNA
CAGAAAGUAGUUUAAGUUAGAACGCCAGUUUUGGGUACUGGUGGCGGAGUUGGGUGCUUCCUUUCUGA